UACGUAGGGUGCGAGCGUUGUCCGGAAUUAUUGGGCGUAAAGGGCGCGUAGGCGGUGUGGCAAGUCAGGUGUGAAACCUCCAGGCUCAACUUGGAGCUUGCAUCUGAAACUGCCGUGCUAGAGUGUGGGGGAGGAGAGUGGAAUUCCUGGUGUAGCGGUGAAAUGCGUAGAUAUCAGGAGGAACACCGGUGGCGAAGGCGGCUCUCUGGACCACAACUGACGCUGAGGCGCGAAAGCUAGGGGAGCAAACAGG
rnacentral:rRNA from 1 species